GAUGAGCGCUGGCGGCGUGCCUAAUACAUGCAAGUCGAGCGAACAGAUGAGAAGCUUGCUUCUCUGAUGUUAGCGGCGGACGGGUGAGUAACACGUGGGUAACCUACCUAUAAGACUAGGAUAACUCCGGGAAACCGGGGCUAAUACCUGAUAAUAUUUUGAACCGCAUGGCUCAAUAGUGAAAGGCGGCUUCGGCUGUCACUUAUAGAUGGACCCGCGCCGUAUUAGCUAGUUGGUAAGGUAAUGGCUUACCAAGGCGACGAUACGUAGCCGACCGGGGAGGGUGAUCGGCCACACUGGAACUGAGACACGGUCCAGACUCCUACGGGAGGCAGCAGUAGGGAAUCUUCCGCAAUGGGCGAAAGCCUGACGGAGCAACGCCGCGUGAGUGAUGAAGGUUUUCGGAUCGUAAAACUCUGUUGUUAGGGAAGAACAAAUUUGUUAGUAACUGAACAAGUCUUGACGGUAUCUAACCAGAAAGCCACGGCUAACUACGUGCCAGCCGCCGCAGUAA
rnacentral:rRNA from 1 species